rnacentral:rRNA from 1 species
GCAAGUCGAACGAGACCUUCGGGUCUAGUGGCGCACGGGUGAGUAACGCGUGGGAAUGUACCCUUAGGUGCGGAACAACAGUUGGAAACGACUGCUAAUACCGCAUAAUAUCUCCGGAUCAAAGAUUUAUCGCCUAAGGAUCGGCCCGCGUUAGAUUAGAUAGUUGGUGAGGUAACGGCUCACCAAGUCGACGAUCUAUAGCUGGUUUGAGAGGAUGAUC